UACGAAGGGGGCUAGCGUUACUCGGAUUGACUGGGCGUAAAGGGCGCGUAGGCGGUUUGUACAGUCAGACGUGAAAUUCCUGGGCUCAACCUGGGGGCUGCGUUUGAUACGUGCAGACUUGAGUUCGGAAGAGGGUCGUGGAAUUCCCAGUGUAGAGGUAAAAUUCGUAGAUAUUGGGAAGAACACCGGUGGCGAAGGCGGCGACCUGGUCCGAUACUGACGCUGAGGCGCGAAAGCGUGGGGAGCAAACAGG
rnacentral:rRNA from 1 species